GGAAAGCUUCGUGCUCUGUUUUGAGGAAGUGUUUGCUGUCCAUCCAGUGCAAAUUCUGAAGUCAUUCCCGCCAGCGUCGCUGCCCGGAAUGCAGGAGAUAUUUGGCUCAGAGGAAGCUAACUGGGAGUUCCCACAUUAAUUACCAGGAAGAGAACAGUCAAAAAAAAAAAAAAGAAAAGAAAAGAAAAGAAAAAGGCCAAAUAGCAACAUCCACUUGGCUGUUUAUUGCAAAACAUUGUAAUUUCCCAAGGCUGGUUCAGAUAAAUACAUUUUGUCCAAGUUCAGGGGCCGCUGUUUUCCCUUGCUUCAUGAAAUUAUCAAUAGGCAGGCCUUUGAUUUUCCUGAUCCAUGCAGCUUUGCUGGCUUUUCCUGGAUCAACCACUCCAGUGGACUCCCUGGCCUGAUAUUCCUUCAUCUUGGCUUCCUGGUGCUCUUUCUCCUCCUUCACGGUCAACAGCACGAACUCAGUGUUCACUCUAAGGGGAUCAAGGGCUGUGUAGAUGCGAGGCCGUUCUUUGUGAAGAGACAGGGUGGCUGUGCCCACUUGUGGAGCUAGCAUGCGGUUUGGUUUAAUGACCUGCAUACUGGUCAGGGGACUGCACACUGCCCUUUCAAUUGAACUGGUCACUUGGUCUCCACCCUUUAAGCUGCGAGAGAACCUGGAGCGGAUAAUCAUGGGCUGCGGCAAGGUGGACUGGACACUGGGACUGUGCAAAGAGAUCUUCAAGUUGGGCUGCAGUUUCUGGAUUUCAAGGGGAAUACUGGUUUGUUUCACAUCUAUAGGAGGAUUGCUCAAUCUCAACUGAUCAACUGCAUGUUGGAUUGAUUUUCCUUUGAAAUUCAAGACCUUCCUUGGGUGUGAAAUUGAAGGUCCCCAGACAUCAAUAAUUUCUGUUCGGGGCCUACAGGGAUAGGCGAAUUUCCCGGAAUUAUGGGCUUGCUGCAGGGCGCUGACAGUCAGGAGGAAUUGGUCAGGUGACAUAGGAAUUUUCCAAGACUUUUUCUUUGGGUGAUUGAGCAGGUUUUCAGGAGUUUCCAAUUGUCCUUGUUUUUGUGCUUUCUCCACAUCAUCUGCUUCUUCAAAAAAAGAAAAUGAAAAAAAAUCGGCAUUCUGUGAAAAAUAUUAAGUACGUAUGUAUUAAGUACUUGGGCAUUCAGACUUCAAAGCACAUUGAGGUCUUUGUUGUCCAACAGGUAUGCCACCAUACAGGCAGGCAUCCUCAGUCGUAUUAGAAAUGCUGAUACUAGAAACGAUUUAAUAAAACUAGUUUUAAAUAAAA